rnacentral:rRNA from 1 species
GAUGAACGCUGGCGGCGUGCCUAAUACAUGCAAGUCGAACGAACAGACGAUGAGCUUGUGCCUUUGACGUUAGCGGCGGGCGGGUGAGUAACACGUGGAUCACCUACUUAUAUUUCUGGGAUAAUUUCGGGAAACCGGAUACAAUACUAGAUCAUAUAUUGAACCGCAUGGUUCAAUGGAUAUUGACGGCUUUGCUGUCUGUUUUAGCUGGUUCCGCGCCGGAUUAGCUAGUUGGUAAGGUAACGGCUUACCAAGGCGACGAUGCGUAGCCGAGCUGAGAGGAUGAUCGGCCACACUGGAACUGAGACACGGUCCAGACUCCUACGGGAGGCAGCAGUAGGGAAUCUUCGGCAAUGGGCGAAAGCCUGACGGAGCAACGCCGCGUGAGUGAUGAAGGUCUUCGGAUCGUAAAGCUCUGUUAUUAGGGAAGAACAGAUGUGUAAGUAACUAUGGACGUCUUGACGGUACCUAAUCAGAAAGCAACGGCUAACUACGUG